CGCAUCUGUGCAUGCAGCAUAUCAAUAAGCGGAGGAAAAGAAACUAACAAGGAUUCCCUCAGUAACGGCGAGUGAAGCGGGAAGAGCUCAAAUUUGAAAUCUUGAAAGGUCACCUUUCACGAAUUGUAGUUUAAAGAAGUGUUUUCUGUUACGAUCGUAAUAUAAGUUCUUUGGAAUAGGACAUCACAGAGGGUGAGAAUCCCGUCUAUGAUUGCGAUUUGUAGCUUUGUGAUACACUUUCAAUGAGUCGGAUUGUUUGGGAAUGCAGGUCCAAACUGGGAGGUAAAUUUCAUUCUAAGGCUAAAUAUUGGCGAGAGACCGAUAGCGAACAAGUACCGUGAGGGAAAGAUGAAAAGAACUUUGAAAAGAGAGUUAAAUAGUACGUGAAAUUGUCAAAAGGGAAGCGUUUGACACCAGUGUUGUUUUCUGAAAAUCAACCUCUGUUAGCUUUAUGCAUGUUUGUUUAGACCUAAUCAGCUAUCUUGCAUGUUCUAUUGUUUGCAGUGGUGCACUUUUCAGUUUACAGGUCAACAUCAGUUUUUUUUACCGUAAAAAAGUUAAAGAAAGGUAGCUCAUGGCUCCGGUCGUGAGUGUUAUAGUCUUUUUCCUAUGCGGUAGGAGAGACUGAGGUCUGCAGUGUAGGCUAUUUGGCUAGAUACUCAGGUGCUAUGUGAUACCAUUUCAUAAACAACUUGUUGAUUAUGUUUUGUCUAUUGCAUACUCGCUUGUACUAUCAUACCUACGCUUAGAUGUUGACGAUCAGCUGAGCGCG
rnacentral:rRNA from 1 species